GCCAAAAGCAAACAAGAGCUCCAGUAAAAGCUUUUACCUCAAGUGCCAUCCUGGCUUAAGCCUCAGUCAUGGGCAGAGAGAGUGUGUGUGAAGAUAGAAAGGUGUGUGUUUGUGUACAUGUGUGUUUUAAAUAGAGCACGAGUGCAUCUGCUGCCUGGGCCUCAGGCAUCUGGACGAUACUCCCCUGCACUGCAAAAUCCACACCAUCUUUACCGGAUUUGUUUUUCCAUUGCAGAUGGUCUCGUGCACAUGUUUUCCUCCCAUUGGCUGGAGAUCCAGAGCUGCUACUGAUACACCACACACAGCUCUGCAUAAAAGGCAGCUUCUCCUUCACUGUCUUCUACUUCUGCAGAACCCGGAGGAGAGCAAGAAACAACCAGAAGAAAUCAGAGGAGAAGAUGAGCGAUGUUAUUUGUGCAGUUGUGCAAUGAGCACGGGCAGAAACCUGCAGAGCUGCAAUUACAGGAACCAUAAAGACUUUUAUCAGGGAUUCCUUGUACAGGAGCAAGAAGUCCUGUUUGUUGAUCUUAUUUGACCUAAAAGGCAUGCAAAGGUGGUAUUUUUAUUUUAUUUUAUUUUUUAAGUUAGAGAUACACCAGAGUCCCCAGAGGAAACCCACACAGACACGGAGAACAUGGAAACUCCACCCAGAUAGGGACUUGAACCCAGGACCCCAGUGCUGAGAGGCGAAUGUGCUUACCACUAAGCCACUGUGCACUGUUCUAAUGUCGGAUCAGAACGCUCCGGGUGGUAGAUCCUCAAGACCAUGAAUGAGAAAUUGAAUAUGUGUUUAACUUCAUGUGUAACUUUAAUUUCCAAGUAAGAAUAUCAUCUAAGUAAACAAAGCCAUGACUCAAAUUAGCCCUACUGAUGAGAUCUAAACUAAACAUCAAUCUCAUUAUUUUCCAUGUUCUUUAUCCUUGCGAUCAAUCACCUUGCUCAGUGCCAAACUGAAUGUCAUGAGACAGAGAUUGCUCAUGCAUUAAGAUGUUCUUCUUGCCUCUCCAUCUUUGUACGUCUGUAGAAAUCAGGAUUCCUCAGACAGGCUAUGUCUGCUUUCAACUGUCCAGUUUUGGUGAGCCUGUGCCCACUGCAGCCUCAGCUUUCUGUUCUUGUCUGACAGAAGAAGAACCUGACAGAGCCUUCUGCCAGUCUUUCUCAAGGUUUGACUUGUUAUCCAUUCUGAGUUACAGUAGCUUUUUUUUUUUACACGAUUUUGACUGAACACUAGUGGCUGCAUUCUUCUGGCACUAACAAGAAUGCCAUAGUAAAUAUCACUUGGUCAAUUGUUUCCAUUUUUCUGUGUUGACAGUAUCCUGUAUUUCAGACCUUGCUGCAGUUGGAGUGCUCAGUCCUGGUGCUGGGGCUCUAUCACUGUGCGAAGUUCAGUCUCAAACCUAUCAUACCUGCUCCAGGUAAGGAAGGUCUUCAGGAGCAAGGGAUUUCUGUUUGCAAUAUAUUUUUUAUUAGACAAUUCUGAGUAAACUGGAAAGAGCUGGGCUAAAACUCCUAGGUGAUCAGUAGUGACCACUAAA
rnacentral:lncRNA from 1 species